GCCCGCGGACAAGCUCCUCCAGAACCAACAGCGCCUUACAGCUUCUCUUCCUCCCCAGUUCUCCUUUUUAUGCUGUUGCAACAGACCUCAGGUGGGGCCCCCACCCCCGGCACCUCGCUGGUUCGGUUCAGCUGGGCGUUACAAGUUGACCACCGGUUGUCAUCCGCCACAGUUGCCCUCAGACACCCCCAGCCCCCCACCCCAUGUGCUUCAAACACUCACCCCAUCGCUCUUGCCGCUUUGUGACAUGGUUCUGGAAGUCCUCGCGCCUGAGUGUCUUCACAAGGUGAGAUCAGAUCUGCAGCACACACUGCACCGACUGCCACCCAGCGGAAAGGCAGGCUCCCCUGCCACACGCUUUACUGCUGGACCUGGCAUCGGGCAGCUUCCGGCUCGUCCCUAGUGUCGAGGUGACUGAAGGGUGAACAUUCUGAAUCUGUUCGGGCACUGAGGCACAGCCAUGGCAGCACAACUGAAGAGGCAAAAAGGACUUCACAAGUGCUUCCGAAAGUAGCAAGAAGAGGAGGAGAGCCGGCGUGGGGCGCACACCUGUGAUCCUGGCACUCGGGAGGCUGCAGCAGGAGGGUUGCGAGAAGUCACGUUACAGAAGGUCGGAAAAGUGAAGUGGGGCUGACCCACAGAAAUUCUUGGAUGCGAACCUAAGGCCAGUUUGGACCCCUACAGCAAACGCUGCGGAGCCAUCUGUGGUUGCUGAGUGACACGGGCACUUGCUUCACCCCCAGCUGUGGAGUCCUUGUGAACAAGCCCCACAAGGAAAGCAGAAAAUGAAAACUGCCAACGAUAGAGUAUCUCCAGGCAAGAGGAGCUACCUAAACCUCGGAGAUGUUCAGAGGUGUUUCUUCUUUUCUCCACUGGAAGAGCUGCCCAGCUCUGACACUGCUUCAUGGCUCCAUCAUGACUCUUGAUCCCUGUAACCACAAGAGUGUAGCCGACCCGCAGGACGUCCGACUGCAACAAGCUCCAUGCUCCUCACUCUAGCCCUGUAACCGAUGGUCUCACCCUGCUGGCUAAUCCAGGCCAGGCUGUCCUGCCUCACCUUUGCACCUCCUGCUUAGGCAUCACGUAAAAGCGGUAGCUCACAAGCACCUGGCUGUGUUGAGGGAGACGUCCCCGCCAGGGCCAGUGUGAAAUAAAGCUCUCCUCCGCCUCCAGA